GUGUUAACAUUUACAUGAUUAAAUAUUUUAUCCUUAGCACUUAUUAUAAUUUUUAUCAUUAUAUAAAUACAUCUCUUCCUUGCUGCAGAACAGAGCCCAGAUUCAGCCUCCGCGAGCAACUCGCUGCCCAGCCGUCCACGUCCGAGCUCCUCACAAGCGCACGCCUCGUUCACACCUCAUCCCAGCAAAGAUCCAGCUUCCGUUCGCUUCUUUCGCAUGUGAGUUCAUCCGUUCGUGUCCCAAGCUUCACAGCAACCGAAAUUCCUGCAUCCAGCUUCUCCCAGAUCUAGGUCCCUGCGUCCACGCUCCUCCCAGCCGUCCGCGUGCACCCUCCCAGCAAAGUCCAGCCAUCCACGCGUUCAUCCAGCCUUUUCCAGCAUCUUGCGAGGCAUCAUCCAGCGCCCCAUCCUUCGAUCCAGUCAUCCGAAUCCCAAGCGCCAGCAGUCCAAGCUUCAUCUUCAGCUCUCACGCGCUCCCGGAUCUUUCUCCCCACCAGCCACAUCAGCCUUCUCAGAUCCAGCGCGUCCCAAGAUCCGUGGUCUAAUUUCCCAGCAUCCCGUGAAGCAUCUCGUCCGCAUCCAUCUGCCCCUUCCACGCGUUCAUCCAGCCACAUCCGCGUCCGAAGAUCCCGGCAUCUCCCGAUUUCAGCAUCCCGUAUCUCAACUCCCAUGCGUUCCAAGCUUCCACAUUCAUAGAGCAUCUUAGCGGCCUCAUGCGAUCAGCCUUCCUCCCUUCCGAUCCAUUCACCUCCAUCCACGCGUCCGUAUUCUCCGCAUGCGAAUCUCCCGCAUCUGCAUCCAAAAAUCCCAGCCGUCCGCGCCUAUUCCCGUGCAAGCUGGAGGGUUCUCACUGUUGGAA
rnacentral:lncRNA from 1 species